AUGUUCUCAACCUGUGGCCAGGAGGCUGAUUCAAGCCCUGCGAACUGUAACCAAACAUCUCAGGGCAUCGUCCCACCCAUUGUCUACUCCUUGUUCACCCAGAGUCAAUACCAUCUGAAUUCAACUCUUAACCACCAAAGGAUCCAAAGGUUGCCAACUAUCAGUCAAGACAACAGCUCACUUUUGCCUACAGGAUCUCCCCCCAGAGGGGCACAUUAUAAACGACCUGGGACUGGCAGGGGAGCAGUCAAAUCCAGCAGGCAUCUGGGACCUCAUUCUGUCUCUCCACUGAGUCUGUCUCACUUCCUGGAAAAGCAAAUCAUCAGGAACCACUUCCUCCCUGGACCAAACAUCAAGAGCAUCCUUGACAACACGCACCGGUUCUGGCUGCCGACAGACCUUUUCAGAUGGGACGAACUUCCAAUCAAUUCUCAUUUCUUCCAGACAAAUGCCCUGUCCUCCAUGAGGCCUGCCGCAGGAACUUAUCUGUUCCCAUUUUGGGCUUUGUGACAUGAAGAUGUGAGAAUAGAAGGCCGCUAUGAGUCAGCCUGAGGAUGAAGCCAACAGAACAACAGAGAGAGUCACACAGAGAGAGAGCCAGAGCCUUAACAGCAGCACGGACCCCCCGAUCAAACCAGGCCCGAGUCGGAACACGCCAGGGCANNNNNNNNNNNNNNNNNNNNNNNNNNNNNNNNNNNNNNNNNNNNNNNNNNNNNNNNNNNNNNNNNNNNNNNNNNNNNNUCAGCCACGUGAGACAAUGAUCUUACCGUCUCCCCCUCGAUCAAACCAGGCCCGAGUCGGAACAUGUCAGGGCAAUUCAGCCACGUGAGACAAUGAUCUUACCGUGUCCUGCCCCCUGCAAUUUUCUUUUUUCCUCAAGCUAGUGUAGGUUGGGUGUUCUCUCGCUUGCAACCAUAAUAUUCGCAACUAGUACACUCUAUUUUCUCUGCCCUCUUCCUUCUCACAUUUCUAGAAUGAAACAAGGUAAAAAAAAAAAAAUUUAAAAAGUAAGUGAAAAUUAUAGGUAAAGUGUAAAGCACCAUACCAAAUAGAUGUGGUGGAAACAAUUUUUCUUUUUGGCUGUGCUUCAUGUCUUGUGGGAUCUUAGUUCCCUGAGCAGGGACUGAACCUGGGCCCUUGGCUGUGAAAGCAUGGAGUCCUAACCAUCAAGAAAUUCCCGAGAGAAACCAUUAUCACUGCCUCAAGGAUAUCCUAGCUCAAAAUAAUUCAGUUUUCAUCAACUUUAGAAUACUUCCUUCUAUUCCUCUGAAAUAUAUUAGUUUCAUUACAUUGAAAUUAUUAGAUCAUGCAUUGAUAAUGGUGCUUAAUGGGUUCAUAGUAUUAUUCUCCUGUAAACAGAUAUGUAUAUAAUUAAUAAGUAUGUUAAGAUUCCUUGUAUUCACAGGUACAAAUUACACCCCAGCCCUCAUUAGUGUGAGUCCAAUUUGAGUAAUCUGAGUGAAAAUAGACUGUCCUUAAGAAGAUGUGUAGGAGGGCUCAGCAUCUUCACUGGCUUCCAGUUGGUAGCCCUUGUUUGGAAAAAAUAGGAGGCUCUGUUCCAGUUCUGCCAUUGAACCUCUCUGUGACCAUGGACAUGUCACUUAGCUUCUCUGGGCUCAGCUUC
ensembl:lncRNA